rnacentral:rRNA from 1 species
UCAGGCCUAACACAUGCAAGUCGAGCGGGGACUUCGGUCCUAGCGGCGAACGGGUGAGGAAUGCUUGGGAAUCUGCCCAGUAGUGGGGGAUAACGUUUCGAAAGGAACGCUAAUACCGCAUACGUCCUACGGGAGAAAGGGGGGGAUCUUCGGACCUCUCGCUAUUGGAUGAGCCCAAGUCGGAUUAGCUAGUUGGUGAGGUAAAGGCUCACCAAGGCGACGAUCCGUAGCUGGUCUGAGAGGAUGAUCAGCCACACUGGAAGUGAGACACGGUCCAGACUCCUACGGGAGGCAGCAGUGUGGAAUAUUG